rnacentral:lncRNA from 1 species
UUCCACAUUCCUCCUCCUCCUCAUCGAUUGGGUCAGCGUUCAAAUCGAUUUUCAAUCCCCCAGUGCCUAAACCAAACCCUCCACCACCGCAAGAAGCAGCAACAUCCCCGCCAGAUGCUUCCACGGCCGCAUUAAAUGUGGGGGGAGGUAAGAAGCCAGAGUAACCACGGUCUCUAUGAGCCCGUAAGUGGCCGAAGACGGCUUUCCAAGAAAGAAAACUUCUCCCGCAAACGUUACAUUUAGGAGGACCUUCAGGUGGGUUGAUCAACUUAGGAGAACCUUUCUUCCUAGGCUUCUUUGCCGGCUCUUCUUCUCCAGCAGACACGGUGGCUUCAGAACCGGACGCGCCGGCCACAUCUGCCAAGUCGUCCAACAUAACCGUCCUUGGACGACGAGCCUUUUUCUUCUUAACUGUUCCACCACUUCCACCAACCUCUUGUUCCAUGUUGUCUUUUGUCACCGCCGCUUCUUGAGCGGCAGCAAUCAAUAAGUCAGCCGCAGCGACGGCUUUUUGACGGGUUACCUGAUCCACAUCACUAAGACUCAGUGCGGGAAGGGCGAGAACUAUUUCGCGCAUCUCCCCUUCUUCUUCUUCAUCGCUCCAGAGGUAAUCACUUUCAUCAGAAUUUUCAUUAAUUCUUUCCUCAGUGUUCACUUUUGUUUUCUCGGGAUCACUCAUGAUUUUGACUUUGUUGAGAGUAAUAAGUUUUGCUGAGACCGAAAUGGUGUUUAUAUAGUUUCUUUGAUCACAUGACGGUUAUGACCGUUACCGCAUCCUGUGUCUGAUGUCUAUAUCUCUCUAUUGGCCUCUCCCGCCUUUUCAUUUGAAGGUUGCGUCCGUUAGAUCCAGUUAAAAACCGAAAAUUGAUAUGAAAUGGUAAGCCAUAUAUAAAUUGGUUUCUUCAGUCGGUCGAAAUGAACCGGAAAUUGAGAACUGAAAUCAUAUACAUCAUUGAUUGUGCUAGUAUUGUUUGUGGGCCAUGUUCAUUACAUGGUCUGAAUUCGCUUAGCCACUACUUAAGAAUAUCAUGAUUUUAUUAUUAUUUUGACAUAAGAAUAUUAUGAAUUCUGGUAGGUUUUUUUUUUGUCAACUGAAUUCUGGUAGGUUGAAACUAGUUUUUUCCUGUAUAACUAUUUUUUUGCUACAUUUUGAUUCUAAAUUUUAGGCUAUGUACUUUAUUUUUAAUAUUAAAUCGGGUUGGUAUAUAUUAUAUAUUAUUCUUGAUUUUUAGUACAAUUUUGAUAAAAUCCUUAGAGUUUGUUGUUUUGGAAAAUCUGAUAUAAUAGCGUUCUAAACGAAUUCCAAUUGUUGACAAAAAAAAUACGAAUUCCAAUUUUAAAUUUUAAUUCAAGAAACUGGUGUUGUCAUUUGAAUUAUCGUUCCAUUGCAUUUUCUUCACACGAUGGCUUGUAUGUAUACCUGUAUUGUAUCUAUUUUUACAAAAUGUAUUUAAUUAUCUUCUACGUUUAUCUGUUUGAUUAGUGUACAAAAUAUUUUUUCGGCAAAUUCUCUAAAGUCGAAUGCCUACGAAAGUUACCACUUUACAGUUUACAUGCAUAAUUUAGAAUUUAAUGAGAGAUUAUGUUGAGAAGCGAGGCUCGUGUUCUUAUCAACCUUCGAAAUAAACCUUCUAGAUACUUCUCGAAUCCGUCAAUGCUCAUCUCGACCUCUUCAAGCUUAUUUUGUAGGUCAUCACGAGAGCAACAUAUCGAUGAACCCAAACUCUCCAACUCGUUCUUCGUCUCCUCAUGAUGAACCUUCUUUUUCUUUAGUACCGAAGACAACUUGCUCUUAAUGUUACUUUCUCGUCCCGACAAGAACUCCAAGAACGACUUCAACACCGACACGCUAACUGAAACUACUCGUCUCAUCGCAUUUAUAACUGCCGCAAGGUGUUCAUCUUGUUGGCCAUCACUUACCCCCGACGACGAUGAACAUGACUCUCCAUUGAAUUUCUUCAAGGAUCCAAGAACCUUCUUAGUUUCUUUUCUCAUGUUCUUUCUAAAUCUGACAUAGCCAGCGACAGCGACAUCGAGUUGAUCAGCUCCUCCUCUGGCUACUUUCUUGCGUCUGACACAUGACUGAACACCACGAACAUGUUCGUGAGUCUCCACCAUGAGGUCUCUAGAGAUAUUGCAUAUAUCCAUUAGCCUUAAAGACCCAUCGAGCAUCUCCUCCAUAAACUCUGAUACAUCCGACGACAUAACACGCUGAGUCGAACCCAUUUUAAGAAACUCCUCCGUACGAUUAUAGAGCUCCUCCAAACCAGCCAAUGCCGUCAAGAUUGAUUCUGAAGAACCCGGCGUGGUGUUAAUCGCUUUAACCUUGUUAAGAGCUUCCUCGAUCCCUGCCGUGCUCGGAUGUGAUCUUGAAGGUAAACUGAUGGAUCUUAGUUGUUUCUUGAUAGUCAUAUUCAACACUUUUUUCCUCUCCUUUUUGUGUUUUUUUUAUAAAGGUGUUUUGAGUUUUUUUUUCCCUUUCUUUGAUCGAUCUGAUUUAUCCAAUUCGAUGUACACAUGCAUAUUUAUACAACCAACAAUAAUUGAAUUGUUAAAUUUUAUUGGUCCGAUUAUCACUGGCAAAUCUGUGACUUUCUGAGCUGUCGGGUUAUUAUAUUGGUCAAAUUAUUUGGCCACAGAGUAAAGCCUGAUGAGUCAUCGUUUGUGGUGUCUCUGGUUUCGCCACAUUAUCAAUACACAUUUUUUGUUAUAUUUAAAUUUAAAAGUAUCGACGGUCAUAAAGUUAUCUCGGUAGGUUACUAGAUCCAGAUCUUCCUCAACCUUAUAUUAUCCAAUCAUAUUCAAGAAGGUUGCUUACUACGAAGAGAUUUUUGUACAGGGAAAUAAAAUAAUGUUUUUAUAUAAGUUCCUCUGCAUGGCUUCUCACAUUAUGACACGUCCAAGAGGAUCACGGGUUUUGAGUUUAUUUACUUGCGUGAUUUCACACACUUUUUCCUGUAAUCUGAUUGACUAACGUGUAUAUUUAUUAGAAACGAAGAACAUUUGAUGAUCAUAUCGCUUAGCAUGUCUGACUUCGUAUAGACGCAUAUAUUUUUGAAAAAUAAUUUAAAAUUGAAUCAUCAUAUUUUAUAGUUGACACAAUUAAAAUAGACUUCUCAACUAAAAGAUGUUUUUUUGACAAGCGAGACGGUAUCUUUAAAUUGACCAACAAUAGUAAAUCUUCCAGCAAUGGUUACUCUCUGAGACUACUAUUGAUUUGUAUUAUUACACGUGUAUAAACGCUAUGCUUAAUUUGUAGAUUCAUAUCACAAAAUAUCCAUAUCAUGGAUUUGCCCCACGUAUAUUGUCCCUUGCGCCAGGUACACGUGUAAAAUGCCUAACAUUUUUAGUUGAACUGUGUUUUGCUUUUAGGUGUGUGGGCACCAAUUAUUCCAUGUUCCAUCACGCUAUGCUAAUGUUAUUAUUUAUGUUCAAAAGUUCACUUUCGUCGAAAUAAAAAAAAUGAAACUAACAUUCACUCCACAAGUUUGUUCCAUUUCUUUCUUAUAAAAAGAAUAUUCCAAAUAUAUUCCAUCUCCACUUUAUCAUUAAUUAUUAAUAGAAACCUUAUAUUUUUUUAUAUUUACCUAUUUUACCUAACUAUUUUGUUUUAACAAUAAUCCAACAUAAUCAUUAUUUAAUAUUUUCAUAUAAUAAAUUUAUUACAUAACAUGAAUAAACAAACAUAAAACAUCAUAAUUUGUAUAAAAAAACACCAUAUAUAACUUUAUAAUUGAUUAACAAAAGUAUUUAGAGUAAGAAAUGAGUUUAUUUAUCUUUGAUUCUUUUAAAACGAUAAAAAAAAAAAACAAAACAAAACAUGCCUACAAAUGCUAUAAAGAAUUAAGUCUCCGACUCUCGCGUAUUGAACAAUCCUUUCCAGUGCUGCAAUUUUUAAAUAUUACAAUACUACAACAAUGGAUUUGCAAACGAGAUAAUUUAAGAAGCAACAAUACGAAUAAUGUGGUUCUUAAAAAAAAAAUCCAUACGAAUGUAGUUAUUGUGUACUUCAACGAAACAAACCGAAGAAAACAAUGUGGACAAGGAAGAAUAAUGUUUGCAUGCAGAACCUUAAAUUAAGCAAGAAAAUAGAAAAUUCAAAUGUUUUAGGUCACGCAGAGCCUUCACUCGGCUUUGUCCUCUUUUGCAUCUUCUUCAUCUUGUGGUGGUGACCUGUUGAGAUCAAACUUUGGAGUAGUAGUUCCACAUUCCUCCUCCUCCUCAUCGAUUGGGUCAGCGUUCAAAUCGAUUUUCAAUCCCCCAGUGCCUAAACCAAACCCUCCACCACCGCAAGAAGCAGCAACAUCCCCGCCAGAUGCUUCCACGGCCGCAUUAAAUGUGGGGGGAGGUAAGAAGCCAGAGUAACCACGGUCUCUAUGAGCCCGUAAGUGGCCGAAGACGGCUUUCCAAGAAAGAAAACUUCUCCCGCAAACGUUACAUUUAGGAGGACCUUCAGGUGGGUUGAUCAACUUAGGAGAACCUUUCUUCCUAGGCUUCUUUGCCGGCUCUUCUUCUCCAGCAGACACGGUGGCUUCAGAACCGGACGCGCCGGCCACAUCUGCCAAGUCGUCCAACAUAACCGUCCUUGGACGACGAGCCUUUUUCU